UAAUUGGGCGUUAAGUUGCAGGGUAUAGACCCGAAACCCGGUGAUCUAGCCAUGGGCAGGUUGAAGGUUGGGUAACACUAACUGGAGGACCGAACCGACUAAUGUUGAAAAAUUAGCGGAUGACCUGUGGCUGGGGGUGAAAGGCCAAUCAAACCGGGAGAUAGCUGGUUCUCCCCGAAAGCUAUUUAGGUAGCGCCUCGUGAAUUCAUCUCCGGGGGUAGAGCACUGUUUCGGCUAGGGGGCCAUCCCGGCUUACCAACCCGAUGCAAACUGCGAAUACCGGAGAAUGUUAUCACGGGAGACACACGGCGGGUGCUAACGUCCGUCGUGAAGAGGGAAACAACCCAGACCGCCAGCUAAGGUCCCAAAGUCAUGGUUAAGUGGGAAACGAUGUGGGAAGGCCCAGACAGCCAGGAUGUUGGCUUAGAAGCAGCCAUCAUUUAAAGAAAGCGUAAUAGCUCACUGGUCGAGUCGGCCUGCGCGGAAGAUGUAACGGGGCUAAACCAU
rnacentral:rRNA from 4 species